rnacentral:snRNA from 8 species
AUACUUACCUGGCAAGGGAGAUACCGUGAUCAAGAAGGCGGUUCACCCAGGGCGAGGCUCAGCCAUUGCACUCCGGCUGUGCUGACCCCUGCGAAUUUCCCAAAUGUGGAAAU